ensembl:lncRNA
UUUUCAGAUUCUUUUCCCAUAUGGGUUAUUAAAGAAUAAUGAAUAGAGUUCCCUGUGCUAUACAGGGACAGUUUUCCAGUUUUGAAGAGACCUGUUGGGAUAAACACAUUCAAGAUAAUAGCGCUGGGACAGGACAAAAGCCACUUCAUUGUAAAAAUGCCUUCAACCUGAAACAUUCUGAUGGACCUGUGCACGAACAAUGGACACACACUGCCUAAUGUGGGAUGGAAGAGUAGCUGGUGGACCGCGGCAUUCUCUGGAUUCAUGGUAAGAAAUUCACCCUCCCUCCGAGAAGUCCAUCAGUUAAUAUUAACAAGCAGAAAGAGCAAGAACCACUUGGCAGGAAGCUCUGAAUUUCCCCCAGACUCUGAGUCAAGAGGUCAUCAAGGAAGGAGUCUGGCUGUAAAGUACACCUAUCUUCCUGUGAUGAGAGUGACGACCGGGGUGACUGGAAUCAGAGUGUAGCCUGCCCUCCUUUGGCAAACAAACACCCACUCUAGUAAGUGCCUUUUAAUGUGCAUCGAGGCUGUGUCUAGGAAAAGGAUGCACACUUGGCAAGUACAGAGCUGUAAGGGGAUCACUUUGACAUGCCGAUAAAGCUUAUUGGUUUACUUUGGACUUGGCUUUAUCAUUUACUGAAGGAUAUUAUUAGUGUGGAGAUGAUAGCCGUUUUCGGACUUCUCGAACAAAAGCCAGUGAAAUGCAUAUGAACAAGAGGUCUGUUAUGGAGAAUUCUACCCUGUUUGUUCAGUGACUUUGGGAUCCUAAUCAUGCAACUUAACAGAGAUAAGACUCAGAGCAGAGAAAGAGAGCCCACCCAGUUUGGGGCCCCCAGGAAGAUGAAAGUCAGUCGUGUUAAAAAUGGAAGCCCAUCCAACUCUGAGCAUGUGUGUCGUUUUCUCUUAUUGCAAAUAUGAUAUUAUAAAAAUAGGUUUGCUCUUUGGAGCCAGAUGGCACGCAAUACGUCUGAAGCUAAAUCCAGUCUUGUGACAGUGGUCAUCGCCAGCGAGGAACCACUUGGUCUGUGACGCCAAACUAUUCGGUUCUUUGUGAGUCUUUUCCAUCAAGCAAGCUCUUGGGUACUUCUCUGAGUGUAAAGAAACAUACAUGCCCCUUGAUGACUGUGGGACUCUUGUUUUGCGAGGGAAAAUAUAAAAACACAUAAGAAGGCUGAGUGCCGAAGAACUGAUGCUUUUGAACUGUGGUGUUGGAUAAAACUCUUGAGAGUGCCUUGGACAGCAAGGAGACCAAACCAGUCCAUCUUAAAGGAAAUCAACCCCAAACAUUCACUGGAAGGACUGAUGCUGAAGCUCCAAUACUUUGGCCAUCUGAUGUGAAAAGCCAACUCAUUGGAAAAGACCCUGACUCUGGAAACACUGAGGGCAGGAAGAGAAGGGGUGACAGAAAAUGAGACGGUUGGAUGGCAUCACUGACUUAAUGGACAUAGUUUGAGCAAACUCUGGGAGAUAGUAAAGGACAGGGAAGCCUGACGUGCUGCAGUCCAUGGGGUCGCAAAGAUUAGGACAUGACUUAGCAACUGAGCUACUGUAAAACAACAAGAUAUGACACAACAAAGAAUGUAAAGAAAAAAAUUAAGGCUCUCAAAUAAAGAUAAAAUCAAGCAAUAAUAUGGGUAGUGGAAUACAAUAUUUUUAGUUUAAAAUCUUUAAUGUUAAUACCACAAUAGAAUGCCAGAUAACUUUUUAAAUUGAAGUAAAAUUGAUUUAUAAUAUUAUAUUAGUUUCAAGUACACAGCAUAGCAAUUCAAUAUUUUUAUAGAUUAUAUUCCAUUAAAAGUUAUUGCAAGAUAAGGUCUGUAAUUCCCUGAGCUAGACAACAUAUUUUUGUUGCAUAUCUACUUUAUGCAUAUCUAUUUUAUUUAAGUAGUUUGCAUCUCUUAAUCUCAUACCCCAUCUUCCAUCUCCCCCUUCUUUUUUCUCGCUAUAACCUCUAGGUUUCCCUCCCCCCCUAUACCUGAGAGUCUGUUUAUAUCUUUAUACAUGUUUUAUUUUUUUAGAUUCUACAUAUAAGUGAUAUCCUACAGUAUUUGCCUUUCUCUGUCUUACUUCACUGAGAAUAUAGGUGCAUUCACGCUAUAAAUGGCAUUAUUUGACUUCUUAAGUCAAUUGACUUCUUAAGUCAAUCAUCUGUUGAUAGGCAUUCAUGCUAUAAAUGGCAUUAUUUCAUUCUUUUUUAUAGUUGAGUAACAUUCCAUUAUAUAUAUAUAUCACAUCUUCUUAAGUCAAUCGUCUGUUGAUGGGCACUUGGGUUAUUUCCAUAUCUUGGCUAUUGUGAAGAGUGUUGCUAUGAACAUUGGGGUGCAUGCAUCUUUUUAAAUUAGUGUUUUCAUAUAUAUAUAUUCAGGAGUACAAUUGCUGGAUCAUAUGUAAGUUCUAGUUUUAACUUUUGGGAAACCUCCAUAUUACUCUCCACAGUCGCUGCAUUAAUUUACAUUCCCACCAACAGUGUAGCAGUGUUCCCUUUUCUGUCCAUCCCUCUGCUAAGUCGCUUCAGUCAUGUCCGACUCUGUGCGACCCCAAAGACCGCAGCCCACCAGGCUCCCCUGUCCCUGGGAUUCUCCAGGCAAGAACACUGGAAUGGGUUGCCAUUUCCUUCUCCAAUACAUGAAAGUGAAAAGUGAAAGUGAAGUCGCUCAGUCGUGUCUGACUCUUAGCGACCCCAUGGACUGCAGCUCACCAGGCUCCUCCAUCCAUGGGAUUUUCCAGGCAAGAGUCCUGGCGUGGGGUGCCAUUGCCUUCUCAGGUCCAUCCCUCUAGCAUUUAUUAUUUGUAGAUUUUUUGAUGAUGGCCACUCUGACAGGUGUGAGGUGAUAUCUCACUUUGGUUUUGAUUUACAUUUCUCUAAUAAUUAGUGAUGUUGAGCAUUUUUUCAAGUUCCUGUUAGUCAUUUGCAUAUCUUCUUUGGAAAAUUUCUGUUUAGGUCUACUGUCCAUUUUCUGAUUGGGCUGUUUGUUUGUUUCAAUACUGAGUUGUAUGAGCCAUUAAUAUAUCCAAAUGUCCAAAGGGUUUUGGAUAUUAACCCUUUGUAGGCCCUAUCAUUUGCAAAUAUGUUCUUUAGUAGUAUGCCUGUAUUUCUUCCUUUUAGGUCCUUUGUGUUUGGGUAUUUAUUGUAGGUUUUUGGUUUGUGGUUACAUGGAGUUGACACUGACCUGUAACUACAUCUACUUGUUUCAAUUAAAAGAUGCUUGCUCCUUGGAAGAAAAGCUAUGACCAACCUAGAUGGCAUAUUAAAAAGCAGAGACAUGUUGAUGUAUGGCCAAAACCACCAUAAUAUUGUAAAGUAAUUAUCCUCCAAUUAAAUAAAUAAAUUAAUUAAAAAUAAAAGCAAAGACAUUACUUUGAUGACAAAGGUCCAUCUAGUCAAAGCUAUGGUUUUUCCAGUAGUCGUGUAUAGAUGUGAGAGUUGGACUAUAAAGAAAGCUGAGUGCCAAAGAAUUGAUGCUUUUGAACUGUGGUGUUGGAGAAGACUCUUGAGAGUCUCUUGGACUGCAAGGAGAUCAAAACAGUCAAUCCUACAGGAAAUCAACCCUGAAUAUUCAUUAGAAGGACUAUGUUGAAGCUGAAGCUCCAAUACUUUGGCCACCUGAUGAGAAGAACUGGCUCAUUUGAAAAGACCCUGAUGCUGGGAAAGACUGAAGACAAGAGGAGAAGGGGAAGACAGAGGGUGAAAUGGUUGGAUGGCAUCACCAACUUGAUGGACAUGAGUUUGAAUAUGCUCCGGGAGUUGAUGGACAGGGAAGCCUGGCGUGCUGCUGUCCAUGGAGUCACAAACAGCUGGACACGACUGAGCGAUUGAACUGAACUUUCAAACAGAUUGUCAUCUAAAUUCAAACAAAUUCUAAAAGAUCUAUACUUUGUACUCCUGUUCUCUCCCCUCCAUUCUGUGGUUUUGAAAUCAUAUUUUACAUGUUUAUUCCUUAGCUGUUAUUUGUAGUUACUGUUGCUUUUAUAAUUGUCUGUUAAUUUUCAUACUGUCUUAUUUAAAUGGUAAAUCCCCAGUGCUUACUAUAUAUUUGGCUUUCCUAGUGAGGUUUUCCCUUUCCUAUUAGAUUCUUAUUUCUUUUCCAUUUAAAGAAGAUCCUUUAGCAUUUCUUUUAGAGAAGCUAGAGUAUGAUUUUUUUUUUUAGUUUUUGCUUAUUUGAGAAGUCCUUUAUCUUUCUAUUCUUAAUAGUAAUCUUUCUAGGCAGAGUAUCUUAGGUUUCAGGUUUUCCCCUUUAAGCACUUUGAAUAUAUCAUGACACUCCCUUUUGGUCUGCAAAGUUUCUGCAGAGAAAUCAGCUGACAGACAUGGUGAUUCCUUUAUAUAUGACUCUGUUUUUCUCUUGCCAACUUUAGUAUUCUCUUUAACUUUUGCUGUUUUAAUUAUGAUAUGUCUUGGCGUGGGUUUGUUUGGAUUCAUUCUGUUUGGAAUCCUCUGUGUUUUCUAUCUAUUUCCUUUUUCAGGUUUGGAAAGUUUUCAACCAUGGUUUCUUCAAAUACAUUUCGAUCCCAUUCUCUCUCUCUCCUCUUUCUAGGGCUCCUACUAUGUCAAUGUUGGUGCAUUUAACGCUAUCCCACCCAGAAAUCUCUUAGACUGUUUUCAUUUUUUAAAAUUUGCUUUGCUUUUUGCUAUUCUGAUUGAGCAAUUUCCAUUUUAUUCUAUCAUCUGGAUCACUUUUUCAUUCUUCUGUAUCACUUAGUCUGUUAUUCAUUUCUUCUGAUGUACC